CUGCUGUACUGACGCUGCCCAAUAUAUAAUAUUUCAGGAAACAUUGCAUUAUGAAGGGCUCCGUAACAGUUAAUGAAGAAUACAGAGUCUGAGGCCUCACCAUUUAUUCUGGGACAACAGGCAAGGGCAGGAGAGAACUUUGGAGGAGGCUGAUUUGAUGACACCACGAAUUCUAAUGCUGGAGGCAACUGCUUAAGAAAAGGCCUGAGCUGCCUCCCAGAGUAUAUCACAUCUCUGAGGACUCCCAACCUGAAAACAAGAAAGCAAGCACAAAUUCCUGGGGAUCC
rnacentral:lncRNA from 1 species